rnacentral:SRP_RNA from 1 species
CACAUGUGGAGACCUCACCUCAAUCAAACUGGUGGUCUGCAAGGACUUUGCAACGUAAGUUGUGAUGACCUGGCAGAUAAUGAUCUGGGAACAGGCUCAGGCUGGCAACAGAGCAGGCAAAACUGGAUGCCACCUGCAGUGAUGAGAU